UCCAUUUGUAAUUAUUUCCCCCUUAAUAGUUCUCUUUUUGGUUUAAACGAUCAAAUUGGCCUUUGGCCCUUUGGGUCAUUGGCUCUUUCCGUGCUCCUUUUUCUUCUCUCUGUAUCCCUCACUCUUAAGCAGGAGUUUGAAGUUUGAAGCCUCCAACUUCUCUAGAAAUACUUGAGAGGAUUUUUGUCAGAGAGGUGCUAGAUGGCUAACUUUGUGUGGGUGGUGUCAGUAUUUCCGCAGCAGCCAAGCCAUGCUAAGAUGUAGCCUUUAUCUGCAUUUGCACCUGCACCUUCUUGUUUUUAUUUGGUUCACUUCAGCACCCUUCUGCUUUAGAAACCAAAGCUUGGGCAGAUGUGUUUGUGGUGGAGGAAGAUAAGGGCCAAGCAAAGAGGUGCAGGGGCAGCUGCAGGUGAAUGCCAUUUUGGCUUCUGUUUUCAGACACGUAUCCCUGCUCCCCUCCUUACUUCUAACUUGGUAUCCAGCUUCAGCUUCUGAUAUGUCAGGUUUCAAAAAUGGUUUUCCUGUUUUACUUUUUUGUCUGUUUCACAGUUGCUGUAAUCUCUAUAUCUGUUUUUCACUUGCCAAAAUCUUUCACAACUCCUUGGUUUUUCAUUGUGUGAUUUUAUAAUGGCCGACAGGGUCUUUCAGUUUCAGGUCUUCUUUGGAUACAGAUCCCAGCAGCCAUCGAUAUACUACUAGGUUAGGAUCCUAGCUAGCUGCUAAUGAAGCUUUGAAGAUGUUCCCAGUAGACAUCGUCAGGGCUUCUCAAGGCUCAGUUGAAAAGCUAUAUGUAGGAAGCCUGGUUGUACCCAUUUCUGCAAAAGUGCCCAACCUCUUUCCUGGUAAGCUUCUUCACCCAAACUUUCAGCAGUUUCUCUCUCACUUUACUGCAUUUGGUGGAAGUUGCCACUUUUCAGAGAACCGCUAAUGACUUCUACUAGAGAGAUGUGGCUGGCAAUCUGUGCUGUAGAAUGCUUUUUCCAGAUGAGCUUGCUAAACUAGUUGUGUUUGCCAGCUUAGUUUCUAAAGUAAGAACUUUGAAUGGUGAUUAAUAGGGAUAUGUGACGGUGGAGGAUAGGACCAUGAAAGAUGAGCAGCUACAAUUCCAUCUGAUUUUAAAUGAUGUCUGCAAACAAGAAGGAUUGCUACAAUCCCAUCUGAUUUGGAAAAUGCACAUGAUCAGGUUUCUGACAGUCUUUUGCUUUGGAAAUACUAACUCCUGUAAUGAGGAUUUACUGUCUGAUCAACUCUCAAAAUUUUCAGUUAUGAAUAUGUGUCACUUGGCAGGCUUCUCA